rnacentral:rRNA from 1 species
GAAGCAUUGAAUUGAAGCCCCAGUAAACGGCGGCCGUAACUAUAACGGUCCUAAGGUAGCGAAAUUCCUUGUCAGGUAAGUUCUGACCCGCACGAAAGGCGUAACGAUUUGGGCGCUGUCUCAGCUGUAGACUCGGUGAAGUCUUAGUACCUGUGAAGAUGCAGGUUACCCGCGACUAGACGGAAAGACCCCAUGGAGCUUUACUGUAGCUUGAUAUUGGACUUUGAUGCAAGAUGUACAGGAUAGGUAGGAGACUGAGAGACAUGCACGCCAGUGUGUGAGGAGUCAAUGUUGGGAUACUACUCUUCUUGUAUUGGAGUUCUAACCGGAUGCCAUGGAACUGGCAACGGGACAGUGUCAGGUGGGCAGUUUGACUGGGGCGGUCGCCUCCCAAAGAGUAACGGAGGCGCCCAAAGAUACCCUCAGCUUGGAUGGAAAUCAAGCGCAGAGUGCAAAGGCAUAAGGGUGUUUGACUGCGAGACCUACAAGUCGAGCAGGGACGAAAGUCGGGCUUAGUGAUCCGGCGGUGCUGAAUGGAAAGGCCGUCGCUCAACGGAUAAAAGCUACCCUGGGGAUAACAGGCUGAUCUCCCCCAAGAGUUCACAUCGACGGGGAGGUUUGGCACCUCGAUGUCGGCUCAUCGCAUCCUGGAGCUGAAGUCGGUUCCAAGGGUUGGGCUGUUCGCCCAUUAAAGCGGUACGCGAGCUGGGUUCAGAACGUCGUGAGACAGUUCGGUCCCUAUCUGUCGUGGGCGUAGGAAGUUUGAGAAGAUCUGUCCUCAGUACGAGAGGACCGGGAUGGACAUAUCAAUGGUGCACCAGUUGUCACGCCAGUGGCACAGCUGGGUAGCUAAAUAUGGAAGGGAUAAACGCUGAAGGCAUCUAAGUGUGAAACCCACUUCAAGAUGAGACUUCCCAUUACGCAAGUAAGUAAGACCCCUUAAAGACGAUAAGGUUGAUAGGUCAGGAGUGUAAGCAUGGCGACAUGUUCAGCGGACUGAUACUAAUAGGUCGAGGACUUAACCU